GCAGCAGCCGCGGUAAUACGUAAGGGGCAAGCGUUGUCCGGAAUCACUGGGCGUAAAGCGCACGUAGGCGGUUUAGCAAGUUAGGGGUGCAAGCUCCAGGCUUAACCUGGAAACUGCCUCUAAAACUACUUCACUUGAGUAUUAGAGGGGAAGCUGGAAUUCACGGUGUAGCGGUGAAAUGCGUAGAUAUCGUGGAGAACACCCGUGGCGAAGGCGGGCUUCUGGCUAAUAACUGACGCUGAGGUGCGAAAGCUAGGGGAGCGAACGGGAUUAGAUACCCCGGUAGUCCUAGCCGUAAACGAUGAGAACUAGGUGUGGGGGGUAAAACCUCCGUGCCGACGCCAACGCAUUAAGUUCUCCGCCUGGGGACUACGGCCGCAAGGUUAAAACUCAAAGGAAUUGACGGGGGCCCGCACA
rnacentral:rRNA from 1 species